rnacentral:rRNA from 1 species
CUUGGCGACCAUAGCGUUUUGGACCCACCUGAUUCCAUUCCGAACUCAGAAGUGAAACGAAAU